GCAUAACUGUGGGAGAAUAGUAAGCAUUGGACACAAAAUGGUUUAGGCAAAUAAUGAUGAACAAAAAUGGUCAUUCUGUGUUCCUGCUGACCCAGCACAGUGGGGACGCUGUGUAGGACAUGACCUUUGGGGGAAGGGAACACAAGAACUCAGCGUGGGGGAUUCAGAAAAGAAGUCGCACGUAUUGAAGCCAGUAACGCCAAGCCAGUGAAUUCUCCUUGACGAGAAAGACCCACUUACUCUGCAAAAGAGAUAUAUGACAGCUGACAAUCCCUGGAGGAGAAUCUUUCUACUAAAUUGGUAAGGGAUGCUAAGCAAAUGAUGUGGACUCAGGAAACAACGCAUUUCAUGAUAUACGGUUGCCUCUCAAGGUGAAUUCGAG
rnacentral:lncRNA from 1 species